rnacentral:lncRNA from 1 species
AUUUAACUAGUCUUCUGUGUUUCUUUAAACAGAAUCAUUUUUUUUUUUUUUUGGUGCAGUUAUAAGUAUGAUGCUUCCAUACUACAUUUGGAUGUUUUCAGCUAAGCUCACUUCUGAAUUACAGGGUUCCUCCAAAUGUUGGCUGAAAUCUGUCCUUGCAUACCCCCAAGCUCAUCUGCAAAAUCUGCAGUUCAUAAUGGAGCUCCUGUACUGGCUGUCGGAAGGAGGAGAUUCGGAAGAUAGGGAGAUUCAGCUAUUGGGCUUUGAAACUUCCUGUGAAGUUGUCCUGUGGUCUGUUCAAUCUAGAUGCAAAGGACCUGGAACAGUCAAGCGCUCAAGAGGUUUACAUUGUUUUGGAUGUUCCUAUUUAUAGACCAAACUAUUUUCCCAAUUCAGAUCCUCAGUUGUUAUGCAGAAGAAGGUCAUACUCUUCUUGAUCAUCCGUUUUAUUAGAAAUGAUUAGUAUUGUAGAGUAUCACCAAACAUUUUCUGUUUGAAUCAAAGUACAGAA